GAUGAACGCUAGCGGCAGGCCUAACACAUGCAAGUCGAGGGGUAGAAGUUGCUUGCAACUUUGAGACCGGCGCACGGGUGCGUAACGCGUAUGCAAUCUGCCUUGUACUGAGGGAUAGCCCAGAGAAAUUUGGAUUAAUACCUCAUAGCAUUAUGAUGUGGCAUCACAUUAUAAUUAAAGUUCCAACGGUACAAGAUGAGCAUGCGUCCCUUUAGUUAGUUGGUAAGGUAACGGCUUACCAAGACGAUGAUGGGUAGGGGUCCUGAGAGGGAGAUCCCCCACACUGGUACUGAGACACGGACCAGACUCCUACGGGAGGCAGCAGUGAGGAAUAUUGGUCAAUGGGCGCAAGCCUGAACCAGCCAUGCCGCGUGCAGGAUGACGCAUCUAUGGUGUGUAAACUGCUUUUGUACAGGAAGAAACACUCCCUCGUGAGGGAGCUUGACGGUACUGUAAGAAUAAGGAUCGGCUAACUCCGUGCCAGCAGCCGCAGUAA
rnacentral:rRNA from 1 species